UACAGAGGGUGCAAGCGUUAAUCGGAAUUACUGGGCGUAAAGCGCACGUAGGUGGGUUGGUAAGUUGCUGGUGAAAAGCCUGGGCUUAACCUGGGUCGGUCCUGCAAAACUACCAGUCUAGAGUGUAUUAGAGGGAAGUGGAAUUUCCGGUGUAGCAGUGAAAUGCGUAGAUAUCGGAAGGAACACCAGUGGCGAAGGCGACUUCCUGGGAUAUAACUGACACUGAGGUGCGACAGCGUGGGGAGCAAACAGG
rnacentral:rRNA from 1 species